GACGAACGCUGGCGGCGUGCUUAACACAUGCAAGUCGAACGGAAAGGCCCUUCGGGGUACUCGAGUGGCGAACGGGUGAGUAACACGUGGGUGAUCUGCCCUGCACUUUGGGAUAAGCCUGGGGAACUGGGUCUAAUACCGAAUAGGACCACGCGCUUCAUGGUGUGUGGUGGAAAGCUUUUGCGGUGUGGGAUGGGCCCGCGGCCUAUCAGCUUGUUGGUGGGGUAAUGGCCUACCAAGGCGACGACGGGUAGCCGGCCUGAGAGGGUGACCGGCCACACUGGGACUGAGAUACGGCCCAGACUCCUACGGGAGGCAGCAGUGGGGAAUAUUGCACAAUGGGCGCAAGCCUGAUGCAGCGACGCCGCGUGAGGGAUGACGGCCUUCGGGUUGUAAACCUCUUUCACCAGGGACGAAGCGUAAGUGACGGUACCUGGAGAAGAAGCACCGGCCAACUACGUG
rnacentral:rRNA from 1 species